GAUUAUGGCUCAGGACGAACGCUGGCGGCAUGCCUAACACAUGCAAGUCGAACGGAACUAAGGGGCUUGCCCUUAGUUUAGUGGCGGACGGGUGAGUAACGCGUGAGCAACCUGCCUUUCAGUGGGGAAUAAUAUCCUGAAAAGGGUACUAAUACCGCAUAACGUAACGAGAUCGCAUGGUUUUGUUACCAAAGAUUUAUCGCUGAGAGAUGGGCUCGCGUCCGAUUAGCCAGUUGGUGGGGUAACGGCCUACCAAAGCUACGAUCGGUAGCCGGACUGAGAGGUUGAACGGCCACAUUGGGACUGAGACACGGCCCAGACUCCUACGGGAGGCAGCAGUGGGGGAUAUUGCGCAAUGGGGGAAACCCUGAACCGCAGCAAUGCCGCGUGAAGGAUGAAGGUCUUCGGAUUGUAAACUUCUUUUGUCAGGGACGAAAAUUGACGGUACCUGACGAAUAAGCUCCGGCUAACUACGUGCCAGCCGCAGC
rnacentral:rRNA from 1 species